AAAUUGAAGAGUUUGAUCAUGGCUCAGAUUGAACGCUGGCGGCAGGCCUAACACAUGCAAGUCGAACGGUAGCACAGAGAGCUUGCUCUCGGGUGACGAGUGGCGGACGGGUGAGUAAUGUCUGGGAAACUGCCUGAUGGAGGGGGAUAACUACUGGAAACGGUGGCUAAUACCGCAUAACGUCGCAAGACCAAAGAGGGGGACCUUCGGGCCUCUUGCCAUCAGAUGUGCCCAGAUGGGAUUAGCUAGUUGGUGAGGUAACGGCUCACCAAGGCGACGAUCCCUAGCUGGUCUGAGAGGAUGACCAGCCACACUGGAACUGAGACACGGUCCAGACUCCUACGGGAGGCAGCAGUGGGGAAUAUUGCACAAUGGGCGCAAGCCUGAUGCAGCCAUGCCGCGUGUAUGAAGAAGGCCUUCG
rnacentral:rRNA from 1 species